UACGUAGGGGGCAAGCGUUAUCCGGAUUUACUGGGUGUAAAGGGAGCGUAGACGGAAUUGCAAGUCUGAUGUGAAAAUCCGGGGCCCAACCCCGGAACUGCAUUGGAAACUGUAUUUCUAGAGUGUCGGAGAGGCAAGUGGAAUUCCUGGUGUAGCGGUGAAAUGCGUAGAUAUCAGGAGGAACACCAGUGGCGAAGGCGGUCUGCUGGACAGCAACUGACACUGAGGCUCGAAAGUGUGGGUAUCAAACAGG
rnacentral:rRNA from 1 species